UAGAGUUUGAUCAUGGCUCAGAUUGAACGCUGGCGGCAUGCUUUACACAUGCAAGUCGAACGGCAGCACGGGGGUAACCCUGGUGGCGAGUGGCGAACGGGUGAGGAAUGCAUCGGAACGUAUCUUCAAGUGGGGGAUAACGCAUCGAAAGGUGUGCUAAUACCGCAUAAUCUCUGAGGAGAAAAGCAGGGGAUCGCAAGACCUUGCGCUUUUGGAGCGGCCGAUGCCUGAUUAGCUUGUUGGUGAGGUAAAAGCUCACCAAGGCUUCGAUCAGUAGCUGGUCUGAGAGGACGACCAGCCACACUGGGACUGAGACACUGCCCAGACUCCUACGGGAGGCUGCAGUCGAGAAUCUUUGGCAAUGGGCGAAAGCCUGACCAUGCGACGCCGCGUGUAGGAUGAAGGCCUUCGGGUCGUAAACUACUGUCAUGAGGAAAGAAGGGUCAUGUAACGAAUAGCUGCGUGAUCUUGACGGUACCUCAUAAGAAAGCCACGGCUAACUCCGUGCCAGCAGCCGCGGUAAUGCGGAGGUGGCGAGCGUUGCUCGGAUUUACUGGGUGUAAAGGGCAAGUAGGCGGUCCUGAAAGUCCUGUCUGAAAGGUGUCAGCUCAACUGGCACUCUGGGCGGGAUACUCCAGGACUAGAGGUCGGAAGAGGCAAGCGGAAUUCCCGGUGUAAGGGUGAAAUCUGUAGAUAUCGGGAGGAACACCAGUGGCGAAGGCGGCUUGCUGGUCCGAUUCUGACGCUGAGGUGCGAAAGCUAGGGGAGCGAACAGGGUUAGAUACCCUGGUAGUCCUAGCCGUAAACGAUGGGCACUAGGUGUUGGACUCCUUGUGGGUUCAGUGCCGAAGCUAACGCGAUAAGUGCCCCACCUGAGGAGUACGGCCGCAAGGUUGAAACUCAAAGGAAUUGACGGGGGCCAGCACAAGCGGUGGAACAUGUGGUUUAAUUCGAUGCUACGCGAAGAACCUUACCCAGGUUUGACAUACAAGAAGUAGUGAACUGAAAGGGGAACGACUCGUAACCAGUCGAGAGCUUGUACAGGUGCUGCAUGGCUGUCGUCAGCUCGUGCCGUGAGGUGUUGGCUUAAGUGCCACAACGAGCGCAACCAUUACUGUUAGUUGCCAGCGGGGCCCGCAAGGGCCGCCGGGCACUCUAGCGGGACUGCCAGCGAUGAGCUGGAGGAAGGUGGUGAUGACGUCAAGUCAGUACGGCCCUUAUGCCUGGGGCGACACACGUGUUACAAUGGUGGGGACAAUGCGCUGCUAGCCCGUGAGGGUACGCUAAUCGCUCAAACCCCGCCCCAGUUCGGAUUGAAGGCUGCAAUUCGCCUUCAUGAAGCCGGAAUCGCUAGUAACGGCGGAUCAGCACGCCGCCGUGAAUACGUUCCCUGGCCUUGUAGACACCGCCCGU
rnacentral:rRNA from 1 species